CUCAUACUCCCUCCGUUCGAAAUUACAUGUCUCGAAUAUGGAUGUAUCUAGAACUAAAAUAUGUCUAGAUACAUCUAUUUCUGCGACAAGUAAUUCCGAACGGAGGAAGUAACUC
rfam:Triticum aestivum genome assembly, contig: Triticum_aestivum_CS42_TGACv1_scaffold_003631_1AL